AAUUUUGGACAAUGGGGGAAACCCUGAUCCAGCCAUCCCGCGUGUAUGAUGAAGGCCUUCGGGUUGUAAAGUACUUUUGGCAGAGAGGAAAAGGUACCUCCUAAUACGAGGUACUGCUGACGGUAUCUGCAGAAUAAGCACCGGCUAACUACGUGCCAGCAGCCGCGGUAAUACGUAGGGUGCAAGCGUUAAUCGGAAUUACUGGGCGUAAAGCGUGUGUAGGCGGUUCGGAAAGAAGGAGGUGAAAUCCAAGGGCUAAACCUUGAAACUGCAUUUUAAACGGCCGGGCUAGGGAACGUAGGGGGGGGUAGAAUUCCACGUGUAGCAGUGAAAUGCGUAGAUAUGUGGAGGAAUGCCGAUGGCGAAGGCAGCCCCCUGGGAUAAUACUGACGCUCAGACACGAAAGCGUGGGGAGCAAAC
rnacentral:rRNA from 1 species